rfam:Ictidomys tridecemlineatus contig040285, whole genome shotgun sequence.
AAGAAAAAAACAAACAAACAAACAAAACUAGUGGAAGUACCAGAAACCAUGAGGAGGAGGGGAAGCACUCUCUCCUGAGAAUGAAGAUGGCUCUUGAUAUUGCUUGGUUGCAACUGCCAUUUGACAUUGGUGAUCAUUCUUCUCAUUCCUUAGCAUGAGUUACAGGAAGAAAAUGCUUUCUGAGUGGU